GAGCCCAGAGCCUGAAUCAGCAUGUGUGUUAGUGGAAGCGUCUGGAAAGGCGCGCGAUACAGGGUGACAGCCCCGUACACAAAAGCGCAUGUGCUGUGAGCUCGAUGAGUAGGGCGGGACACGUGGUAUCCUGUCUGAAUAUGGGGGGACCAUCCUCCAAGGCUAAAUACUCCUGACUGACCGAUAGUGAACCAGUACCGUGAGGGAAAGGCGAAAAGAACCCCGGCGAGGGGAGUGAAAAAGAACCUGAAACCGU
rnacentral:rRNA from 1 species